rnacentral:lncRNA from 1 species
AUUACAUUUCCUUUGACUUUUUAUUUCACUAUUUAGUUUUUGCAUGAAAUUAUUUAUUAAAAUUUGUUGAAUAUGUAUAUAUAUGUAAUUACUGAUUUAAUUCCAACCUAUUAUGCACAUCUCAAUGGAUGGCUGAUGUGAUAAAUUGUAGCCGGAAAACCAAACUUCCACAUUAAGGCGACAUUUUUUUAAAUAUGCACUAAUUCUUUCAAUUAUA